rnacentral:lncRNA from 1 species
CUCAUUCAGUGGUAUUUCUGCAUGGUCUAGUACCAGACCCAGAGGUUGGUGGGCCUUCCUGUGGCAGGGGGGUUGGAACUUGAUGAUCCUUUGGUUCCCUUCCAACCCAAGCCAUUCUAUGAUUCUGUGAUCUUGGGACUAACUCUUGUAGCAUAGGUCAAAAGUGACAUGUGCUACCACAGUUUGCUAUUCUGGUAUGAGUCCUUGAAUUAACACAUUCCUUACAACUCCCUAUUCCAGCUCAAACAAGAUUUCUUGAAGAUACAUGUAAGAUUUACAAAUCUCCCCCAUAUGCUGCAGUAAGAAGAGUUACGUUACGCCAGGUCUGUACUUAAACCUCUGAGAGAACUUUUGCAUCAGGAGUAAGUAUCACCCCAACUCUAAAAGCGUCUGGUUAAAGGAUACGUACUUUGUGUGACACAGCAUGUAACUAAUAAUCAUACUGUAAUGCCUUUAGGGAAUUAUUUAUUAGUUUGGCAUAUUCGUCACAUCAAAUGUUAGGGACAGUAGCAAACUACUUAGUUCUCUGUAUAGUUCUCUGUAUCUCCCUCUACAGACAGUGGGAAAAAGUACUUUAAGAUGACGAUUCACACUACCUAAGAGCUGAUGUCUCUGGAAAUCUCUCUUUGGCAUCUUUUCUUUUUUAUUAGGUGGGACAAACCUGAACAUCUGUCUGGGAAAGACGGGAAGGGGCAGAUCCUGAGAAAAGUUGGGAACAGAUUUCUCAUUUUUGUAGUGGUGGGAGGCCAAGGUGGUACUGCUGCAGAGACAACGUGGAGAAUAACAGAGCUGCGGACCUCCACAAUGCUCUACAGUACUCGAGGACACUGUAAGUAGUUAACUCCCUGAAGUAUGAUAGCUCCCUCUGGUCACAUCCUACAUAGGGAGGUCCCACUAAUGCUGCCCUUUGCACUUCUGCAGCUCUUCCACAAUACCAGAUAUGGCAGAUAUACGUGCAGCAUU